CCUACGGGUGGCAGCAGUGAGGAAUAUUGGUCAAUGGGCGGAAGCCUGAACCAGCCAAGUAGCGUGCGGGAUGAAGGCCCUACGGGUCGUAAACCGCUUUUGCACGGGGAUAACACCCGCCACGUGUGGAGGUCUGCAGGUACCGUGCGAAUAAGGGCCGGCUAAUUCCGUGCCAGCAGCCGCGGUAAUACGGAAGGCCCGAGCGUUAUCCGGAUUCAUUGGGCUUAAAGGGAGCGUAGGCGGUCGGUCAAGUCAGCUGUAAAAUCGCGCGGCUCAACCGGGCCCCUCAGUUGGAAAUGGCGGCCUUGCGUUCCCAACAGGCAGGCGGACUUCGUGGUGUAGCGGUGAACUG
rnacentral:rRNA from 1 species